AUUCAACUAAUGAAUCCCAAGUAGAACGAAACGUACGUCCUGAAU
rfam:Schistosoma rodhaini strain Burundi genome assembly, scaffold: SROB_scaffold0000311